UACGUAGGGUCCGAGCGUUGUCCGGAAUUAUUGGGCGUAAAGGGCUCGUAGGCGGUUUGUCGCGUCGGGAGUGAAAACUCAGGGCUCAACCCUGAGCGUGCUUCCGAUACGGGCAGACUAGAGGUAUGCAGGGGAGAACGGAAUUCCUGGUGUAGCGGUGGAAUGCGCAGAUAUCAGGAGGAACACCGGUGGCGAAGGCGGGUCUCUGGGCAACAACUGACGCUGAGGAGCGAAAGCGUGGGGAGCGAACAGG
rnacentral:rRNA from 1 species